CCUACGGGAGGCUGCAGUGAGGAAUAUUGGUCAAUGGGCGCGAGCCUGAACCAGCCAAGUAGCGUGAAGGAUGACUGCCCUACGGGUUGUAAACUUCUUUUAUAAAGGAAUAAAGUGUGGCACGUGUGCCUUUUUGUAUGUACUUUAUGAAUAAGGAACGGCUAACCCCGUGCCAGCAGCCGCGGUAAUACGGAGGAUCCGAGGGUUAUCCGGAUUUAUUGGGUUUAAAGGGAGCGUAGAUGGGUUGUUAAGUUAGUUGUGAAAGUUUGGGGUGUAACCGUAAAAUUGCAAUUGAUACUGGCAGUCUUGAGUACAGUAGAGGUAGGCGGAAUUCGUGGUGUAGCGGUGAAAUGCUUAGAUAGCACGAAGAACUCCGAUUGCGAAGGCAGCUUACUAAACUGCCACUGACGUUGAUGCUCGAAAGUGUGGGUAUCGAACAGGAUUAGAUACCCCAGUAGUC
rnacentral:rRNA from 1 species